GGGCACGUGGUCUAGGGGUAGUACGUUAAUUCUUCUUUUGUGAAAGGUCGCGGGUUCAAUUCCCGUCGUGUCGU